UUGAACGCUGGCGGCAGGCCUAACACAUGCAAGUCGAGCGGAUGAAGGGAGCUUGCUCCUGGAUUCAGCGGCGGACGGGUGAGUAAUGCCUAGGAAUCUGCCUGGUAGUGGGGGAUAACGUCCGGAAACGGGCGCUAAUACCGCAUACGUCCUGAGGGAGAAAGUGGGGGAUCUUCGGACCUCACGCUAUCAGAUGAGCCUAGGUCGGAUUAGCUAGUUGGUGGGGUAAAGGCCUACCAAGGCGACGAUCCGUAACUGGUCUGAGAGGAUGAUCAGUCACACUGGAUCUGAGACACGGUCCAGACUCCUACGGGAGGCAGCAGUGGGGAAUAUUGGACAAUGGGCGAAAGCCUGAUCCAGCCAUGCCGCGUGUGUGAAGAAGGUCUUCGGAUUGUAAAGCACUUUAAGUUGGGAGGAAGGGCAGUAAGUUAAUACCUUGCUGUUUUGACGUUACCAACAGAAUAAGCACCGGCUAACUUCGUG
rnacentral:rRNA from 1 species